rnacentral:snRNA from 1 species
AGACUCUGGUUUCUCUUCAGACAGUAUAAAUCUUCCACCUUUUAUUAAAGAUUUCUGUGGGCAGGAACAUUUAUGAGACUUAAAGGCUUCACUUGAUUGAGCUGAUGCACCAGUUCC